AGAAGGGGUGUAACCAUUUCCUCAUGACAGAAGGAAUCAAAGGGGAAGUCGAACAACGCAUGGCCUUAUCAAUAUUGGUAUCAAUAACCUAAGACCUGCAAUUAAGAGAGCAAAGGGAAGGAGAGAAUAAGUUAAUGAGAGUGGAGGUGAAAUCAGUAUAACCAGUGUCACUGAAUGGAGCCACCUGAAAAAUCACAACUGCCAGAAAGCUUCCAGCUGCUAGAGGGAAACAGUCAUUUUGACAAUCAGUUUCUGGCUGAUGUUCUUGGUUUUGGGUGGUAGAAGAAUGUUCGCAGGAGUUGCAGGCCACUGUUAGAACUUCUGGC